UUGGAGGGCAAGUCUGGUGCCAGCAGCCGCGGUAAUUCCAGCUCCAAUAGCGUAUAUUAGAGUUGUUGCAGUUAAAAAGCUCGUAGUUGAAUUUCGGGAUCAAUUUGUUGGUCGUGCCUCGGUACGUACUGGCAUUAUUGGUUUCUACCUUCUGAAGAACCUUGAUGUCAUUAAUUUGGUGUCUUGGGGAAUCAGGACUGUUACUUUGAAAAAAUUAGAGUGUUUAAAGCAGGCAUACGCUUGAAUACAUUAGCAUGGAAUAAUGAAAUAGGACGUUCGAUUCUAUUUUGUUGGUUUCUAGGAUCGACGUAAUGAUUAAUAGGGAUAGUUGGGGGCAUUAGUAUUCAAUUGUCAGAGGUGAAAUUCUUGGAUUUAUUGAAGACUAACUACUGCGAAAGCAUUUGCCAAGGAUGUUUUCAUUAAUCAAGAACGAAAGUUAGGGGGUCGAAGACGAUCAGAUACCGUCGUAGUCUUAACCAUAAACUAUGCCGACUAGGGAUCGGAUGAUGUUAUUUUUAAUGACUCAUUCGGCGCCUUACGGGAAAC
rnacentral:rRNA from 1 species